rnacentral:ncRNA from 1 species
AGCGAUGAUAUGAGUAGAGGAAGUGGUGUAGCGAUUCUUUUGAGCGUACGAACAGAAACUUGAUAUAAGGCUAAAUGGUGGAUGAUAGUGCUCAACAACUAUAAGUCCAAAAGGUAAACGUAAAACCAAAAGAGUAAAUCAAGACGUUGUGAAAGAA